rnacentral:rRNA from 1 species
AUUGAACGCUGGCGGCAGGCCUAACACAUGCAAGUCGAACGGUAACAGGAAGAAGCUUGCUUCUUUGCUGACGAGUGGCGGGCGGGUGAGUAAUGUCUGUGAAACUGCCUGAUGGAGGGGGAUAACUACUGGAAACGGUAGCUAAUACCGCAUAACGUCGCAAGACCAAAAAGGGGGACCUACGGGCCUCUUGCCAUCGGAUGUGCCCAGAUGGGUUUAGCUAGUAGGUGGGGUAACGGCUCACCUAGGCGACGAGCCCUAGCUGGUCUGAGAGGAUGACCAGCCACACUGGAACUGAGACACGGUCCAGACUCCUACGGGAGGCAGCAGUGGGGAAUAUUGCACAAUGGGCGCAAGCCUGAUGCAGCCAUGCCGCGUGUAUGAAGAAGGCCUUCGGGUUGUAAAGUACUUUCAGCGGGGAGGAAGGGAGUAAAGUUAAUACCUUGGCUCAUUGACGUUACCCGCAGAAGAAGCACCGGCUAACUCCGUG